UCUCCCUGUCUCUCUCUCUGUCUCUGUCUCUCUGCGUUCAGGAGACGACGACGGAGAAGGUUUCUACAAGUGGCUCGAAGGUUUGUGUUUGGAGAAGAGAGUUUUCUACCGACUCAUCUCCGGCCUCCACAGCAGCAUCAACAUCCACCUGUGUGCCGAGUACCUGCUGGACGGUACGUCCCUCU